GUGUUGUUGUCGCCGGAAGGGUUGCACGCAUUAACCUUAGGAAUUGACGUUUGUCAUAAAUAUAAUUGUAUGUUUUUGUUUUUUGAAUUUUGUUUUUGUUAUUUUUCAAAAUGAACAAUGUGCAGAAAGUUUGUAGUCGAAGGCAAAGUAUUUGUAGACUGUGCUGCCAUUGAAACUCUGACUUUUGUGUUUACGAAAGUACUUAGUGAAAAUUAAUUACUUAAGUAAGUUAAAUAAAAAAUGUAACUUAGUAAUUGAUAACAGCAAAAUGCUAGCAAAUCAAAUUUUGGGUUUUAAUCCCUUUCGUUAUUGAUGUAACUAAUGUAAGCUAAGCAAUUGGUUCUUGUUUUUUUACGAUAUGAGGUCUUUUCGUUAUCUAUAGGAGAACUCUAUCAAAAAUGCAAGCGUACGGUUUUGGUUAAAUAAUAAGUUACAUUUUAGAUUGAAACUCUUGUUAUAUUUUAAUUUGUUUAAGGCUUUUGGUCUAGAUACUCGUGUGUUUUACUACUCAAAUGAUAAAGCUAUAAAUAUUAUACUAGGUGUAAUUACUGUACAAUACAUCACCUAGCAAAGUAACGAAAAGAGAAUGCAUAUAUAUGGUUUAUCCGAUAUUAUCCUUAGAUAGUCUCCUUAGAACAUCUCCUGCCUUUCGGUUGCUACUAUGUCUUGAGGCGACACUUUUUUAUUGAUUGCGCUACAAAAGCCGCAUCAUUAGUUAAGAAAUAAUUGUAAAAUAGUAUUUCAGAGAAAAAAAAUUUUUUUAAAUAAUUUGAACUAAAUUUAUAAGCUCCUACUCUAACGCACAACGGUUGGAAUUGGAAGAAGAUAUUUCGCUCGAGUUCCUUUGCUGUUCAUAAUUUUUAUAUUGUGAUUAAAGACUCUACAAAGGCUUCGAAGGAUUAAACUUAUUGUUUUCGCCAAUAUUUAAUAUGGAAAAUCUAUGGUAAUUUCAGUUUUUCAAAUGUUAUAAAAAACUGUAUAUAUAUGUAACUUAUUUAAAUAGAUAUUCAUAUAAACAUGUUGCAACUAAACUUUAAGUCAUGAAGUAUCGUUCUUUAAGUCCCCUAUAUGUUAGUUUUGCUAGUAAGGGUUUGGUCAGCCAAACUGCGAGCCCUUUUAUGCAUCAAAAAAGCUAUAGGUAUGUAAUAUGAAAAUCCUAAUCCGUCAGGUAAAAAUAUUUUUAUACAUAUCUAUAUAUAUAUCACAUAUAUAUAUAUAUAUAUCACAAACUACAACCUUUCUUAAAUUAAACGUGGCAACUCUAUACGCCUUGAUAAUUCGUAUUUUUUACUUAAUUAUAUUACCGUGUAACCCUCAUCGUGGAAAACCAAAGAUUUCGCUACACCCCUAAGAAUAUUGACUAAAUACUCGUAAUAUAACCUUAGACAGCUAUAGGAAGUAUUUUUGCAUAAUGAGAAUUUCCAACUAUGUUUUUCUAAAUCCAAGCAAUAACAAUAUAAUAAAAUAAUAAUAAAAAAAAACUACAGCAACGUCAACGGUGUCAAAAACUAAAUAAUAUAUUGGAGAAAAGGCAGAAUUGGUGAAACGAAAAGUCAUCGAAAUUUAAUAAAUAUACAUGCAGCAUCCAAUAACCAAUGUCUCUCAAUCAAAGCCUUCAAUAGUAUAUAUUUACAUAAGUAUACUGGCCUAUUCGAAUCUGCAUCACGGCCUGUGAAAUUGUGGAAACUGUCCCAUAACUAACUGUCUUAACUAGACUUGUUAGAGAUUGAGCUUGAUAAGCCACAUAACCUGGAGCGAUUUUACUCAAACAACUAUUACGCUUAUCGAACCCCAUGAAAUCUCAAUGGAGUCCAAGAAAACCAAUUAAUCUUUAUUUAUGUGCCUGCUUUCAAAUAAUAGAUUAUAAAUUUCCGCAAUAUGACUACCGACCGAACUAGCCUAGCAUCGGAAUGGAGCAAAAUUUUAUCCGGCCAUGGGAUGUUAUUUCGAAGAUCUAAACUUGUUUUAAUAGAUUUUGGAAAGUUAAACUGAUUAGGGGAAAAUAAAUUUGAAAGCAUGACUAAUUCAUUAUCUCAAGAAAAAUCACAUAUGCAUGUAUAAACAAAAAAGCUUAUUCUCCGCAACUCUUAUAUGUAUGUAACUCAAUAACACACUUUUAUUACCAUCAAGCAACAUCACAUAACAACAAAUAAAUCAAAAGCUAUUUUGCAAAUAAUUUUUACUCAAAAUUAUUUCAUCUUUUAUCUGUAUUUCAUUUUAAAUAAAUAAAAUUUUUCAACUCAUUUCAUAGCUGUAAAGAGCUUUUUGCAUCACUCUUAAACCUCGCUAGCUGCUUUUCUAGAUGUGUAAUCCCAAAAGUGAUUCGGCACUUUGUACUGAUAACGAAGCAAAAAAAAAUUUGCAAAUAAGCAUCUCACAUCUCCGACAAUCGGAGACAACAAAAAUGCUUCGCCGAUAAGAAAACCUCGUGAGAUCAUGUGCAAAUUUUUUUAUCUCUUUCACCUUAAUAAUUUAGCUGAAUCGAAAAGUAAACAACGUAUGUUUUAUGAGCUACAGGACAAACAACGAGCAAUGCGACAGUUAUGAUGCAUAUUUCUUAUUUUUGUUAUAUUAUAUUACUAUCACCAUAUAAUAAUUGUGGGCAGGCAAAACAAUAUCACGCACAGUGGGAGAAAUGCAUGUGAAAAAUGGUAAAAUAUUAAAUAGGUUAUAAAUUUUAGUAAAGAAAUUUUAUUUAUCACAUAAGCGGAGUUCACUUUUAAUAAAAAAUGUAUUUCAAAAAUAUAGGAACUUU